AUUUAAAUAGUUUAAAAAAAACAUUACAUUUUCAUUGUAAAAUUAGAAUUCUAUUUCUUUUAAAUA
rnacentral:tRNA from 1 species